rnacentral:rRNA from 1 species
CCUACGGGCGGCAGCAGUAGGGAAUAUUGGACAAUGGAGGAAACUCUGAUCCAGCCAUCCCGCGUGAAGGAUUAAGGUCCUAUGGAUUGUAAACUUCUUUUCUUUGGGAAUAAAAUCUCCGAUUCCUCGGAGCUUGAAGGUACCAGGGGAAUAAGCACCGGCUAACUCCGUGCCAGCAGCCGCGGUAAUACGGAGGGUGCAAGCGUUAUCCGGAUUCACUGGGGUGAAGGGGUGCGUGUAUGUCUUUGUUGAAAGCCUACAGCUGAACUGUAGAAUUGCCAUUGAUACUGCUUAACUUGAGUCAAGUCGAAGUGGAUGGAAUAGAUCAUGUAGCGGUGAAAUGCGUAGAUAUGAUUUAGAACACCAAUUGCGAAGGCAGUUCACUAGGCUUGUAUUGACACUGAGGCACGAAAGCGUGGGGAUCAAACAGGAUUAGAUACCCCAGUAGUC